UAAUAUCCAGAAUAUAUAAAGAAUUCCUACAACUUGAUAACAAAAACACCCCAAUCUAAAAAUGGACACAGAAUUUAAAUAGACAUUUCUCCAAUGAAGAUGGCCACCACACAUGUGAAAAGAUGCUCAACAUCACUAAUCAUCAAGGGAAAUGCAAAUCAAAACCACAAUAGCACAAUGAGAUAUCAUUUCAGACCCCGUAUGAUGUUAGGAUGGCUACUUUCAAAAAAACAGAAAAUAAGUGUUGGUAAGGAAACACCUGCACACUGUUGAUGGGAUUAUAAAAUGGGCAGCCACUAUGGAAAAUAGUAUGGAGGUUCCUAAAAAAACUGCAAUUAGAAUUCCCAUAUGAUCCAGUCAUCUCCUACUGCAUAUAUAUCCAAAAGAAUUGAAAGCAGGAUCUUGAAAAGAUAUCUGCUCUCCUAUGUUCAUGCAGCAUUAUUCACAACAGCCAAGAUGUAGAGGUGAUUCAAAUGUCCAUCAGUGAAUGAAUAGAUAAAGAAAUGUGGUAUAUACAUACAAUGGAAUCUUAGCCUAAAAAAGAAAGAAUUCCUGUCAUAUGCUACAGCAUGGAUGAACCUUGAGGACCUUAUGAUGGAUUCUGCUCUGUCGCCCAGGCUGGAUUGCAGCGGUGUGAUCUCGGCUCACGGCAACCUCUGCCUCCUGGUUUCAAGCAAUUCUCAUGCUUCAGCUUCCUGGGUAGCUGGGAUUACAGGCGC
rnacentral:lncRNA from 1 species